AUUGCCUCAGUAACGGCGAGUGAAGCGGCAAUAGCUCAAAUUUGAAAUCUGGCUCUUCGAGUCCGAGUUGUAAUUUGUAGAGGAUGUUUCGGGUGCGCCCGCAGUUUAAGUUCCUUGGAACAGGACGUCAUAGAGGGUGAGAAUCCCGUCUUGAACUGUACGGCAAGUCCAUGUGAAACUCCUUCGACGAGUCGAGUUGUUUGGGAAUGCAGCUCAAAAUGGGAGGUAAAUUUCUUCUAAAGCUAAAUAUUGGCCAGAGACCGAUAGCGCACAAGUAGAGUGAUCGAAAGAUGAAAAGCACUUUGAAAAGAGAGUUAAACAGUAUGUGAAAUUGUUAAAAGGGAAGCGUUUGCAACCAGACUUGUUUCUAACAGUUCUACCGCAGUUCUCUGUGGCUUAUUCUGUUAGUCCAGGCCAGCAUCAGUUUGGGUGGCUCGUUAAAGGCCUUGGGAAUGUAUCUACUCCUUCGGGUGUAGACUUAUAGCCCUCGGUGUAAUAGGGUCUACCUGGACUGAGGUACGCGCUUUAUUGCUCGGAUGCUGGCGUAAUGGUUGUAAACGACCCGUCUUGAAACACGGACCAAGGAGUCUAACAUCUAUGCGAGUGUUAGGGUGUCAAACCCUUACGCGUAAUGAAAGUGAACGGAGGUAGGAACCCGCAAGGGUGCACUAUCGACCGAUCCUGAUGUCUUCGGAUGGAUUUGAGUAAGAGCAUAGCUGUUGGGACCCGAAAGAUGGUGAACUAUGCCUGAAUAGGGUGAAGCCAGAGGAAACUCUGGUGGAGGCUCGCAGCGGUUCUGACGUGCAAAUCGAUCGUCAAAUUUGGGUAUAGGGGCGAAAGACUAAUCGAACCAUCUGGUAGCUGGUUCCUGCCGAAGUUUCCCUCAGGAUAGCAGUAACGAAAUCAGUUUUAUGAGGUAAAGCGAAUGAUUAGAGGCCUUGGGGUUGAAACAACCUUAACCUAUUCUCAAACUUUAAAUAUGUAAGAAGUCCUUGUUACUUAAUUGAACGUGGACAUUUGAAUGUAUCGUUACUAGUGGGCCAUUUUUGGUAAGCAGAACUGGCGAUGCGGGAUGAACCGAACGUGAGGUUAAGGUGCCGGAAUACUCGCUCAUCAGACACCACAAAAGGUGUCAAUGCAUCUAGACAGUCCGACGGUGGCCAUGGAAGUCGGAAUCCGCUAAGGAGUGUGUAACAACUCACGGACCGAAUGCAUUGGCCCUGAAAAUGGAUGGCGCUCAAGCGAGUUACCCAUACCUCACCGUUAAAGUUAUAAUGAUGCUUUAACGAGUAGGCAGGCGUGGAGAUUGUGACGAAGCCUUG
rnacentral:rRNA from 1 species